rnacentral:rRNA from 1 species
ACGGAAGGCAGCAGUGGGGAAUAUUGCACAAUGGGGGAAACCCUGAUGCAGCGACGCCGCGUGAGUGAAGAAGUUAUUCGUAAUGUAAAGCUCUAUCAGCAGGGAAGAAAAUGACGGUACCUGACUAAGAAGCCCCGGCUAACUACGUGCCAGCAGCCGCGGUAAUACGUAGGGGGCAAGCGUUAUCCGGAUUUACUGGGUGUAAAGGGAGCGUAGACGGUCUGGCAAGUCUGAUGUGAAAGGCAGGGGCUCAACUCCUGGACUGCAUUGGAAACUGUCAGUCUUGAGUGUCGGAGAGGUAAGCGGAAUUCCUAGUGUAGCGGUGAAAUGCGUAGAUAUUAGGAGGAACACCAGUGACGAAGGCGGCUUACUGGACGAUAACUGACGUUGAGGCUCGAAAGCGUGGGGAGCAAACAGGAUUAGAUACCCUGGUA